rnacentral:rRNA from 1 species
CAGCCGCCACGGGAAUACGAAGGGUGCAAGCGUUAAUCGGAAUUACUGGGCGUAAAGCGUGCGUAGGCGGUUUGUUAAGUCUGUUGUGAAAUCCCCGGGCUCAACCUGGGAAUGGCAAUGGAUACUGGCAAGCUAGAGUGUGUCAGAGGAUGGUGGAAUUCCCGGUGUAGCGGUGAAAUGCGUAGAGAUCGGGAGGAACAUCAGUGGCGAAGGCGGCCAUCUGGGACAACACUGACGCUGAGGCACGAAAGCGUGGGGAGCAAACAGGAUUAGAUACCCCCGUAGUCCCUGUCUCUUAUAC